GACGAACGCUGGCGGCGUGCCUAAUACAUGCAAGUAGAACGCUGAAGCGAGGAGCUUGCUCUUCUUGGAUGAGUUGCGAACGGGUGAGUAACGCGUAGGUAACCUGCCUUGUAGCGGGGGAUAACUAUUGGAAACGAUAGCUAAUACCGCAUAACAAUGGAUGACACAUGUCAUUUAUUUGAAAGGGGCAAUUGCUCCACUACAAGAUGGACCUGCGUUGUAUUAACUAGUAGGUGAGGUAAUGGCUCACCUAGGCGACGAUACAUAGCCGACCUGAGAGGGUAAUCGGCCACACUGGGACUGAGACACGGCCCAGAAUCCUACGGGAGGCAGCAGUAGGGAAUCUUCGGCAAUGGGGGCAACCCUGACCGAGCAACGCCGCGUGAGUGAAGAAGGUUUUCGGAUCGUAAAGCUCUGUUGUAAGUCAAGAACGGGUGUGAGAGUGGAAAGUUCACACUGUGACGGUAGCUUACCAGAAAGGGACGGCUAACUACGUG
rnacentral:rRNA from 1 species